GAUGAACGCUAGCUACAGGCUUAACACAUGCAAGUCGAGGGACCGGCGCACGGGUGAGUAACACGUAUCCAACCUGCCCUUUACUCGGGGAUAGCCUUUCGAAAGAAAGAUUAAUACCCGAUAUAAAGGAUGGGGAUGCGUUCCAUUAGGUUGUUGGUGAGGUAACGGCUCACCAAGCCUUCGAUGGAUAGGGGUUCUGAGAGGAAUGUCCACGACGUUGGAACUAAGACAAGGCCCAAACUCCUACGGGAGGCAGAGGUGAAGAAGAAUGAUAAACGGGGGCUAGCCUGAACCAGCCAAGUAGAGUGAAGGAGGAAGGCUUAUGGGUCGUAAACUUCUUAUAUAUAAAAAAAUGUAUUAGAAGAAUAAGGAUCGGCUAACUCCGUGCCAGCAGCCGCGGUAAUUA
rnacentral:rRNA from 1 species